rnacentral:rRNA from 1 species
GCAGAACGCGAAGAACCUUACCAGGGCUUGAAAUCCCGAGAAGGCUCUCGAAAGAGAGCUGUGCCUUUUGGAACUCGGUGACAGGUGCUGCAUGGCCGUCGUCAGCUCGUGUCGUGAGAUGUUGGGUUAAGUCCCGCAACGAGCGCAACCCCUAUGUUUAGUUGUAUUUUUCUAGGCAGACUGCCUCGGUAACGGGGAGGAAGGAGGGGACGACGUCUGGUCUUUAUUGCCCUUAUGUCCUGGGCUAGAAACGCGCUACAAUGGUCGGUACAAUGGGUAACAGCCAAAAUCGCGAGAUGGAGCAAAAUCCCACCAAAGCCGAUCUCAGUUCGGAUAAGAGGCUGAAACUCGCCUCUUUGAAGUCGGAAUCGCUAGUAACCGUAGGUCAGCACACCACGGUGAAUCCGUUCCCGGGUCUGUA